rnacentral:rRNA from 1 species
AUUGAACGCUGGCGGCAGGCUUAACACCUGCAAGUCGAGCGAGCGGCGGACGGGUGAGUACUGUCUGGGAAACUGCCUGAUGGAGGGGGCUAACUCCUGGCAACGGUAGCUAAUACAGCAUACCAUCAGAUGUGCCCCGAUGGGAUUAGCUAGUAGGUGGGGUAAUGGCUCACAUAGGCGACGAUCCCUAGCUGGUCUGAGAGGAUGACCAGACACACGUGAACUGAGACACGGUACUGACUCCUACGGUAGUCAUCAGUGGGGAAUAUUGCACAAGGGGCGCAAGCCUGAUGCAGCCAUGCCGCGUGUGUGAAGAAGGCCUUCGGGUUGUAAAGCACUUUCAGCGAGGAGGCGUUACUCGCAGAAGAAGCACCGGCUAACUCCGUGCCAGCAGCCGCGGUAAUUC